AGUGGCGGACGGGUGAGUAACGCGUAAGAAUCUAACUUCAGGACGGGGACAACAGUGGGAAACGACUGCUAAUACCCGAUGUGCCGCAAGGUGAAACCUAAUUGGCCUGGAGAAGAGCUUGCGUCUGAUUAGCUAGUUGGUGGGGUAAAGGCCUACCAAGGCGACGAUCAGUAGCUGGUCUGAGAGGAUGAGCAGCCACACUGGGACUGAGACACGGCCCAGACUCCUACGGGAGGCAGCAGUGGGGAAUUUUCCGCAAUGGGCGAAAGCCUGACGGAGCAACGCCGCGUGAGGGAGGAAGGUCUUUGGAUGUAAACCUCUUUUCUCAAGGAAGAAGUUCUGACGGUACUUGAGGAAUCAGCCUCGACUAACUCCGUGCCAGCAGCCGCGGUAAUACGGGGGAGGCAAGCGUUAUCCGGAAUUAUUGGGCGUAAAGCGUCCGCAGGUGGUCAGCCAAGUCUGCCGUCAAAUCAGGUUGCUUAACGACCUAAAGGCGGUGGAAACUGGCAGACUAGAGAGCAGUAGGGGUAGCAGGAAUUCCCAGUGUAGCGGUGAAAUGCGUAGAGAUUGGGAAGAACAUCGGUGGCGAAAGCGUGCUACUGGGCUGUAUCUGACACUCAGGGACGAAAGCUAGGGGAGCGAAAGGGAUUAGAUACCCCUGUAGUCCUAGCCGUAAACGAUGGAUACUAGGCGUGGCUUG
rnacentral:rRNA from 1 species